CUUUGCCUUUCUGGCUUCCUUCGCUUAGUAUGAGGGUCUCUCGUUCCAGCCCCGCGGCGGCAGAUGGCACUCGUUCUGCCGCUUUUUCCUGGCUGUGUGCGAUGCCAUCGCAUGGAUGUCCCCGGGCCUUCGAAGUGCACUCACCUGUCAGUGGACCUUUAGGUGGCUUCCAGAUCUUGGCUCUGCCCCGCGGCGGCAGAUGGCACUCGUUCUGCCGCUUUUUCCUGGCUGUGUGCGAUGCCAUCGCAUAGAUGUCCCCGGGUCUGCGAAGUGCACUCACCUGUCAGUGGACCUUUAGGUGGCUUCCAGAUCUUGGCUCUGGUGAGUAGUGAGGCGACAGACAGAGGGUGCCCGGGUCUGCUUCCGGGAAAGUUUGGUCCCGGGAAAUGGAGCUGUUGGAGGCCGGCUUCGGUCUUUGUGUGGGCCG
rnacentral:lncRNA from 1 species